AUGGUUCAUUCUUCUUCUACCUGUAAUGGUCCGUGGCGUCCAGGCCAGCCUCUUCGGGGGCGUGGGGCUAUGGUUGGUCGCCGUGCUGCUGCCGGAGCAGUCCCCGCCGUCCAGGUCGGCCUCCUGCUAUACGUGGUGCUGUUAUUGGGCGUCGUGGUGGCCGCGGUGUUGUGCUGGGCCGUUCUGCAUUCAUGGCGGAUGUCGUCGCCGCCUUCGUUGCUGGGAUCGAUGCCCUCGGCCAUCGAGGAGAACUGUUGCGACUACUGCGGUUUCUCUCAUGGCGGUUUCCGAGAUGGUGAUCCUGUCCUUGCACCGGCGGAGGCCGUAGCCCGAGAGGGACGACCGGAGAGACCCGGCCUUAGAGCGAACUACCACGAGCUCCUUUGA
rnacentral:rRNA from 1 species